UAAACCCGGCACGGUCUUUGGUGAUUCAUAGUAACUUUUCGAAUCGCAUGACUUUACAGUCGGCGAUGGUUCAUUCAAAUUUCUGCCCUAUCAAGUUUCGAUGGUAGGAUAGAGGCCUACCAUGCUUUUUACGGGUAACGGCGAAUUAGGGUUCGAUUCCGGAGAGGGAGCCUGAGAAACGGCUACCACAUCUAAGGAAGGCAGCAGGCGCGCAAAUUACCCAAUCCUGAUUCAGGGAGGUAGUGACAAUAAAUAACAAUCCAGGACUUCGGUCUUGGAAUUGGAAUGAGAACAAUUUAAAUCUCUUAUCGAGGAACAAUUGGAGGGCAAGUCUGGUGCCAGCAGCCGCGGUAAUUCCAGCUCCAAUAGCGUAUAUUAAAGUUGUUGCAGUUAAAUAGCUCGUAGUUGAAUCUUGGGGCUGGUUUGGCGGUUCGACGUCUUUGACGUGUACUGUCGGCCGGUUCUUUUACUUGUGGGGAACGUAUGUGCCCUUUGCGGGGUGUGUACGGGAACCAUGGCUGUUACUUUGAAAAAAUUAGAGUGUUUAAAGCGGGCGUAAGCUUUGUAUACAUUUAGCAUGGGAUAAUAGGAAAUAGGGACUUUUGGUUUAAUUAAGAGGGUACUAAGGGCCGAAGUAAUUGGAUUAAUAAGGGGAUAGUUGGGGGGCAAUUAAGGUAUUUUAAUAGUUCAAAGGGUUGAAAAUUCCCUUGGGGAUUAA
rnacentral:rRNA from 1 species